rnacentral:rRNA from 1 species
AGUCAUGGUUAAGUGGGAAACGAUGUGGGAAGGCCCAGACAGCCAGGAUGUUGGCUUAGAAGCAGCCAUCAUUUAAAGAAAGCGUAAUAGCUCACUGGUCGAGUCGGCCUGCGCGGAAGAUGUAACGGGGCUAAACCAUGCACCGAAGCUGCGGCAGCGACACUCAGGUGUUGUUGGGUAGGGGAGCGUUCUGUAAGCCUGCGAAGGUGGCCUGUGAGGGUUGCUGGAGGUAUCAGAAGUGCGAAUGCUGACAUAAGUAACGAUAAAGCGGGUGAAAAGCCCGCUCGCCGGAAGACCAAGGGUUCCUGUCCAACGUUAAUCGGGGCAGGGUGAGUCGACCCCUAAGGCGAGGCCGAAAGGCGUAGUCGAUGGGAAACGGGUUAAUAUUCCCGUACUUGGUGUUACUGCGAAGGGGGGACGGAGAAGGCUAUGUUGGCCGGGCGACGGUUGUCCCGGUUUAAGCGUGUAGGUGUGUGUUCCAGGUAAAUCCGGUUCACUUUAACACUGAGGCGUGAUGACGAGGCACUACGGUGCUGAAGCAACAAAUGCCCUGCUUCCAGGAAAAGCCUCUAAGCAUCAGGUAACAUCAAAUCGUACCCCAAACCGACACAGGUGGUCAGGUAGAGAAUACCAAGGCGCUUGAGAGAACUCGGGUGAAGGAACUAGGCAAAAUGGUGCCGUAACUUCGGGAGAAGGCACGCUGACACGUAGGUGAAGUGAUUUACUCAUGGAGCUGAAGUCAGUCGAAGAUACCAGCUGGCUGCAACUGUUUAUUAAAAACACAGCACUGUGCAAACACGAAAGUGGACGUAUACGGUGUGACGCCUGCCCGGUGCCGGAAGGUUAAUUGAUGGGGUCAGCGCAAGCGAAGCUCCUGAUCGAAGCCCCGGUAAACGGCGGCCGUAACUAUAACGGUCCUAAGGUAGCGAAAUUCCUUGUCGGGUAAGUUCCGACCUGCACGAAUGGCGUAAUGAUGGCCAGGCUGUCUCCACCCGAGACUCAGUGAAAUUGAACUCGCUGUGAAGAUGCAGUGUACCCGCGGCAAGACGGAAAGACCCCGUGAACCUUUACUAUAGCUUGACACUGAACAUUGAGCCUUGAUGUGUAGGAUAGGUGGGAGGCUUUGAAGUGUGGACGCCAGUCUGCAUGGAGCCGGCCUUGAAAUACCACCCUUUAAUGUUUGAUGUUCUAACGUGGACCCGUGAUCCGGGUUGCGGACAGUGUCUGGUGGGUAGUUUGACUGGGGCGGUCUCCUCCUAAAGAGUAACGGAGGAGCACGAAGGUUGGCUAAUCCUGGUCGGACAUCAGGAGGUUAGUGCAAUGGCAUAAGCCAGCUUGACUGCGAGCGUGACGGCGCGAGCAGGUGCGAAAGCAGGUCAUAGUGAUCCGGUGGUUCUGAAUGGAAGGGCCAUCGCUCAACGGAUAAAAGGUACUCCGGGGAUAACAGGCUGAUACCGCCCAAGAGUUCAUAUCGACGGCGGUGUUUGGCACCUCGAUGUCGGCUCAUCACAUCCUGGGGCUGAAGUAGGUCCCAAGGGUAUGGCUGUUCGCCAUUUAAAGUGGUACGCGAGCUGGGUUUAGAACGUCGUGAGACAGUUCGGUCCCUAUCUGCCGUGGGCGCUGGAGAACUGAGGGGGGCUGCUCCUAGUACGAGAGGACCGGAGUGGACGCAUCACUGGUGUUCGGGUUGUCAUGCCAAUGGCACUGCCCGGUAGCUAAAUGCGGAAGAGAUAAGUGCUGAAAGCAUCUAAGCACGAAACUUGCCCCGAGAUGAGUUCUCCCUGAGACUUUAGGUCUCCUGAAGGAACGUUGAAGACGACGACGUUGAUAGGCCGGGUGUGUAAGCGCAGCGAUGCGUUGAGCUAACCGGUACUAAUGAACCGUGAGGCUUAACCUU